AUUGAACGCUGGCGGCAUGCCUUACACAUGCAAGUCGAACGGCAGCACGGGAGCAAUCCUGGUGGCGAGUGGCGAACGGGUGAGUAAUAUAUCGGAACGUGCCCAGUCGUGGGGGAUAACGUAGCGAAAGCUACGCUAAUACCGCAUACGAUCUACGGAUGAAAGCGGGGGAUCGCAAGACCUCGCGCGAUUGGAGCGGCCGAUAUCAGAUUAGCUAGUUGGUGGGGUAAAAGCCCACCAAGGCGACGAUCUGUAGCUGGUCUGAGAGGACGACCAGCCMCACUGGAACUGAGACACGGUCCAGACUCCUACGGGAGGCAGCAGUGGGGAAUUUUGGACAAUGGGCGAAAGCCUGAUCCAGCAAUGCCGCGUGCAGGACAAAGGCCUUCGGGUUGUAAACUGCUUUUGUACGGAACGAAACGGUCUCUUCUAAUAAAGGGGGCUAAUGACGGUACCGUAAGAAUAAGCACCGGCUAACCACGCG
rnacentral:rRNA from 1 species